rnacentral:rRNA from 1 species
CCUACGGGGGGCAGCAGUGGGGGAUAUUGCACAAUGGGGGGAACCCUGAUGCAGCGACGCCGCGUGGGUGAAGGAGUGCUUCGGCAUGUAAAGCCCUAUCGGCAGGGAAGAAGCAAGACGGUACCUGACUAAGACGCCCCGGCUAACUACGGGCCAGCAGCCGCGGUAAUACGUAGGGGGCGAGCGUUAUCCGGAUUCACUGGGGGUAAAGGGAGCGUAGACGGUCAUGCAAGGCAGGGGUGAAAGCCCGGGGCCUAACCCCGGGACUGCCCUGGAAACUGGAAGGCUGGAGUGCGGGAGGGGUAGGCGGAAUUCCUGGUGUAGCGGUGAAAUGCGUAGAUAUCAGGAGGAACACCGGCGGCGAAGGCGGCCUGCUGGAUCGCGACUGACGUUGAGGCUCGAAAGCGUGGGGAGCGAACAGGAUUAGAUACCCGUGUAGUC